rnacentral:rRNA from 1 species
CCUACGGGGUGCAGCAGUGAGGAAUAUUGGUCAAUGGGCGCGAGCCUGAACCAGCCAAGUCGCGUGAGGGAAGACGGUCCUAUGGAUUGUAAACCUCUUUUGUCGGGGAGCAAAAGACGCCACGCGUGGCGUUCCGAGAGUACCCGACGAAAACGCAUAGGCGAACUACGUGCCAGCAGCCGCGGUAAUACGUAGGGUGCAAGCGUUAUCCGGAUUUACUGGGUGUAAAGGGAGCGUAGACGGUGCAGCACGUCUGAUGUGAAAGGUCGGGGCCCAACCCCGGGACUGCAUUGGAAACUGUUGAACUGGAGUACAGGAGAGGUAAGCGGAAGUCCUAGUGUAGCGGGGAAAUGCGUAGAUAUUAGGAGGAACACCAGUGGCGAAGGCGGCUUACUGGACUGUAACUGACGUUGAGGCUCGAAAGCGUGGGGAGCAAACAGGAGUAGAUACACGGGUAGUC